AUACGGAGGAUGCGAGCGUUAUCCGGAUUUAUUGGGCUUAAAGGGUGCGUAGGCUGUGCGUUAAGUCAGGGGUGAAAUGCCGUCGCUCAACGACGGAGCUGCCCUUGAUACUGGCGUGCUGGAGUACGGAAGCCGUUGGUGGAAUGAGUGGUGUAGCGGUGAAAUGCUUAGAUAUCACUCAGAACACCGAUGGCGAAGGCAUCUGACGAAUCCGUCACUGACGCUGAGGCACGAAAGCGUGGGGAUAGAACAGGAUUAGAUACCCUGGUAUUCCCCGCCGUAAACGAUGAUGACUAACCGUCGGCGAUAGACAGCCGGUGGCCAAGCGAAAGCGAUAAGUCAUCCACCUGGGGAGUACGUCGGCAACGAUGAAACUCAAAUGAAUUGGCGGGG
rnacentral:rRNA from 1 species